rnacentral:rRNA from 1 species
CCUACGGGUGGCUGCAGUAGGGAAUCUUCCACAAUGGGCGAAAGCCUGAUGGAGCAACGCCGCGUGGGUGAAGAAGGUCUUCGGAUCGUAAAACCCUGUUGUCAGAGAAGAAAGUGCGUGAGAGUAACUGUUCACGUUUCGACGGUAUCUAACCAGAAAGCCACGGCUAACUACGUGCCCGCAGCCGCGGUAAUACGUAGGUGGCAAGCGUUAUCCGGAUUUAGUGGGCGUAAAGGGAACGCAGGCGGUCUUGUAAGUCUGAUGUGAAAGGCUUCGGCUUAACCGGAGAAGUGCAUUGGAAACUGGGAAACUUGAGUGCAGGAGAGGAGAGUGGAACUCCAAGUGUAGCGGUGAAAUGCGUAGAUAUAAGGAAGAACACCAGUGGCGAAAGCGGCUCUCUGGUCUGUAACUGACGCUGAGGUUCGAAAGCGUGGGUAGCAAACAGGAUUAGAUACCCCAGUAGUC